GGGAAUGUGGCUUUGUGGUGGUAGAGUGCGUGCCUUGCAUGCAUGAGGCCCUCAGUUAGAUUCCUAGCAUCCA
rnacentral:tRNA from 1 species